rnacentral:pre_miRNA from 1 species
UUUGUGGGGACUGUUGGCUGGAUCGAGGCCUCCUCGCCGGCUGGUAUAGUUGGAUUGGAGGCGUCGGACCAGGCUUCAUUCCUUGUAAA